ACCUGGGUGGCUCAGUCAGUUAAGCAUCUGACUUCGGCUCAGGUCAUGAUCUCGCAGUUCGUGGGUUCGAGCCCCACGUCGGGCU
rnacentral:tRNA from 1 species